GAGAAGCCAACACAGGAAUUGGUUAUGCAAGUGCUGAAGUGCUAGGUCAGCAAGAAUAAGAGGGGAACUAGGGUAGUGAAAAGCAAAGAGGGGGUAAUUGUUUCUGGUCUGGCUUCUUUAGUUUUUAUGUUCUGAUAUGGCAAUAUGGGUGGUUUCUUCCCAUCUUUGGAGAAAGCAUAAUUUCGUGAUUCAGGCUUAUUUGUGGACAUCUUUGAAGAAGGUUAUGGAAUAAAAGCAGCAUAGUCUUCAGUCACAGAAGAGAUGUUGACUCCUAGGUUCCAGAAAUAGUGAGUUCUGUACGAAUGAAGCGUAAAAAGAAUCCUGGAUAAUAUUUAGGUCUGUGUUUUCUUCUUUCUAGACAGUGUGGAGUUACAUCCCCAAUCUCACUUUACAGACUGACAUAUGUCCACAAACCAGAUGUCAAAUAGCACCAGAGAGAUUAUGAACAAGAAUAAUGGAGCUGGCAUGGCCCUGAGGCAAGACCAUGAAAUUGAAAUGUUGUUCCAGCCAGAUAAUAGAAAACAACUAUGUUGUUACAUGUAAUCUGGUAUAAAGGAGAAGAGACAUUGGCCAGAUGGGUAACUGCAAACCAAGUGAUGGGUAAAAUUUGCUCUAGGUGAAAGCAAAUGUAUCUGGACAAGAACUUGUAAUUAGAUCUGCCAUCAGAUUGAAAUUAUUAUUGUUUAUAACUUAUUGGGAUUCAUUUGCCCGUUUCACAGGGAAAAUGCUAGGUUUUGGGGAAAUGUGAUAGGAAUCUUUAUCUCUGAGUUUUCCAUAUGUUUUAUUGUGGCAUCAAUUUCUACUUUCUCAAAAUUUGUGCUCUUAUAUGUUUGUCAUCAUGAUAAGAAUAAUUAGUAGUGCUCUUCAGGCUAUAAUAGUAUAUAUGAACAUUUAACUAAUUAUGCAUACCUGGACCCUCUUCUUAGUGAAUGGAGAUAAAAUAAUUACAUCUGGAUUAAGGUGUAAACUGGGUUUGGCCAAAAUGAAGGGUAAGUAAAAAUAUUUCUCAUUCCAGAAGUUCAGGGGCAAAUGUUAGAAUUAUGGAAGCAUUAAUUCCUCCUACUCAAAUUAAGAAUUAAAUAAUUUGUAAACUAAUUACAUGGGACUUCAAACUCAUUAUAGCACUGUGAAAUUGCCAUGUAUUAAAAACUCAAUUUAUUUUCAUAUUACUAUAGGCAAUGUUUUGGUUUUGGUACUUGGAAAAUAAGAUGAUAUCAAAGUUAAUGUCUAUUUGUCUUCAGAAUUUCUGAAUAUUUCUCAUUUUCCAUCAUUAUUUGACUUUUGUUACAGUCUCAUCUCCAAAGGAGAGCACUGCAAUCAUAGUUUCACCAAAUAUGGUCAAUGUUGUAGGCUAUUCCCAGAGUGGAAUAUAGCUCCUCAUUGAAUCAAGAGGUUAUGAAAUUUUGAAUAAACUAUAGUCCAUUCAUUUCUUGAGAUAUUACUAUUCUUCACAAAUAAGGCUUUGUUAAACCUGAAAGUAAUUUAUAAAAUAUAUCAAGUCAUAAUUUAGCAUAUUGGCUUCAUAUUUAUUGCUAAUUAUUCAUCAUUAUUUUGCCACUGCAAAGAUGUUGUUGCUCAAAGUAUUUUGCUUACUACUUCAUUCUUGAUGUCUAUUAUUCUAUUUAAGCUUACUUUGUCUCUGUUGAUUAAGCACUAAUAUUUGCUUUCUAUUGCACUGGAUGUAAUCAUAUUUAUGAAAAUCAUGUUACUCAUAUCAAGGAUGCUUUUCGAUGCUUUUCCCAACAUUAUUUAUGGUCUUCACCUGAGCCACAACAGAGAUUUUUGAGGAUGAUGGUCCACUCAGUAAUGCAACUUAAGCUUUAGUUAAGUGAAUAUAUUUCUCUUGGUAUGCUUGAGCACUUAACGGGCAGAUGGGAGUGCCAGAGCACAUGGUAAAUACACUCAUGCAUUCUAUUUCUCUAAACCCUGGGUUUUCUUCUCUUAAUUAUUCUAGGAAAUCUACAGUAUAUCAACCUAAUUAAAUCUAAGCUAACAUAAUUUAAAAUCAAGGUCAGCUUACAAGUAUCGUGGAUAAUAUAUAUGCCACCAUUCUGAGAGUUCCACCCAUCUUCUGAAUGCUUAAUCUCAUAUACUAUAGAUUUCAGCCUUCAAAGUCUAAUUCAGAUCCUUUGUAUAUAUUCUGUUUUGAUUAAAUGUUUUGACACAUGGGAUAUGUUAUAGUAAGUGUUUUGACAUCCUUGUCUGCUAAUAUAAAAUGGCUCCAGUUUGAUUGUUUCACAUUUCUCCUAUUAUAUAUUAUUUUUCUACUUCUUUCCAUGCUUAUCCGGCUAUUUAUUAUUUUUUUGUGUUUGUCAAAUUUUCUGAUUAUUACUUUCCUGUGUUCUGAGUGGUUUUGCAUCUCAUGCAUAUUCUUAGAUGCUUUUUUCUGGGAUAUAGUUAAGUGUGUGUGUGUGUGUGUAUGUGUGUGUGUGUGUAAUUGUGUGUGUGUUUCUCCUGAUUCUUCAUCUUGCUGCCUUGAUCUCUGAAAGCUCUCAGCUUUUUCUCUUCAUCUUCUGGAAUCUGAGAGGCAUUGCAUGAAUUUUUCCACCUUGGACCAUAAACUAGAAACUCUCAGGUCAUUAACAUAUACCUCUCAGGUAUUAUUGGUCUUAUUGCUUCUAUCUAAUAUUUGAAAACUUAUUAUUAAUCUAUUUUGUCAACAUUUGCCUAUACCCUAAAGGAGAUAAAUAAGCUCCUACAAAUUUUAAAAUCCAAAUAAUUUGUGAAUACAGGGCUGAUGUUUUGAUUUCUAUAAGCAUUUAGAAGAUUAGUGGAUCUCUCAAAAUAUAGGCAUUUUUAUUAUCCACAAUACUUGUAAGCUGACCUUGAUUUUGAAUUGUGUUAGCUUAGAUUUAAUUAGGUUGAUAUACUGUAGGUGUCCUAGAAUAACAAAAAGAAGAACGCAGAGUUUAGAGAAAUAGAAGGCAUGAAUGUAUUUACCAUGUGCUGCUGGCACACCCAUCUGCCUGUUAAGUGAUUAAUAAGGAGUCUAAUAAACACAUGUCAGAAAAGAGUAGUAAAACUGUGACAGCUAAGAAAAAUAUUGAACUUCUAAAUACCGCAAUAUGUAAUGUUAAUAUACUUGUCUUUAUAUUAUUAAGUUUGUAAAAUAUGAUUUUCGUAUAGUAUUUUUAAUGGAGAAAGGAAAUGAGAAAGACAAAAGUGACCAGGGCCUGUAAAAGCCAUAAUGCAGUCUCAUGUUAACCUCUUGCUCUUUUCCAUUAUUUAAUAUAGAACUUUGUAUUUGAUUCUCUGUCUUCUUUUCUAUUCAGAAACAACUUACCAUUUGCAAUGCUUUUAACAGUCAAGUGGAUAAACUCUACAGUACCUUGGUUUGCUUUUUUAAAAAUUAUCAACACUAGUUAUAUAAAAUGCCAAUGUACUUCAGGUGCUCACUCCCAUAGCCUGAAAUGAUAUCUUGCCAUUAUUCAGAGACAUUGUAUUCUGAAAGAGUAGAUUCAAAUUCUUCAUCUUUAGACCAUAAUAUUUUUAAUAUUCUGGGAGUCUAAUUUUAUAACUAAUACAGUUCUUCACCCUCUAAACUUGUGACUUUAGCCAUUGAUCUCAAUUCAAUCUCUGUAUCUGUCCUGAUUUCUAUACUUGGUUAGAGAAAUUUCUAUGAUUUUUCGCAAUGUUUGUCAACUGAUAUAACUCAACUGUUAUAUCUUCUAUAUAUAAAUAAAGCAAUCCUAACUGAA